UUCUUGUAUCAGAGGCAGAGAUUGGAGGUCUGAACGUAAAAUUUAUUAUAAACCACAGUAGACAGAGGUCAGAGGGCUGGGAAGUCUGUGAGAGGAGUAUGAAGACAGGCUCGGGAAGAACAAUGAGUUUAGUUGCUGUGAGGUUCCCCAGAAGGGACUGUGCUUCCUCCGUCACAGGCCUGAGGUACUGGAAACCCUAACUAGGUUGAGGGAGAGUCCAAGGCAUCCCAAAGAGGAUCCACCCGGGCGCGGCACUGGGUCACGCGGGUCUCCCACACUGCGGAACAAGGCAGCAAGGCAGCCAAGGCUCCGCAGGCCUCCAGGGCAUGCGGGAGGUGCAGCGCGAGGUUUGCAGUCCAAGAUUCUGGGUGCAGCAGAAUGCCCCAAAACCAGGCAGGACGGCUUUGGAACACACAGGCACCAGGGGGGCGAGGGACAACUCAGAGGAGAGCAACUGGAACCUGAGACUGGCAUGACGAUCAGCUCCGACAGGGAGCUGGAACUUUGAACCAACUGGAAUGUUUACCCAAACUCCUGUUCAGGAAAUGGAUGAGUUACCUUGAGCGGCAAGUUAUGGCUUCUUCCUGCCCUCAGCAGGACUAGGGGCUUGAGAACCAGAGGAGGACAGUCGCUAAAAUCUCCCUUUUCCAACCACUGACGGACCUUUGCAGGAUUGGAGGGCUCCAGGCGAGCUGGGGGUCUAAUCAGUCUCCUCUGCCCUCAAGCCUCCCAGCCUUACUUGCCGGGAGGAGCAUUCCGUGGCCCCCAGUAGCCAACUCUUCUGGGUUUAAAGGGACCCCCCUUUCUUCGAUUAGGAAGUCUCCUUGUCUCUGUCCUCUGGAGGGUGACUCAGGCCUUCUUAAGGGGGUCUGAGCAGAAGGACAAGUUGCCCAGAGAUAACGGCUCGGGCACCAACUUCUUGUCACUGGAAUCUUCUCACUUUGAACAUCAGGCAAAGCCCUGAGCCGCAGGAGGCGCUGCCAGGGAGAUGAAAGGGUUUACUUGUGCAGUAAGCGCCCUGAGUCACCGGAUCCCAAGGCCCAAGAGCAGUGCUUCGGUUUAAACCCCAGGUGUUUCUAGGUUCAUUUACAGAUCAAUUAACCCAUUUGUAACUCCUUAAGUGACAUUUUAAAGUGAGAGAUCAUUAAACAAAAAUCAAUUGGAAGCUUAGUCACUCCAUUUCCCUGCUAGUCAGAGUGGCUCGUCUGUGUGAACUGCUGUUGUGCUCCCUGUCCGGAGAGGGGCUCGCCGGUCCACAGCCAACACUGUUAUUCAGGCCCAGGGCUUGCUCACUCCACAGCACGGCUCGGUAUUUAUAGCAAUAUGGUUGUUUGUUAGAAAAGCUUUCAUGUGGGGGAAGGGGAGAGAGCAUAUCUGGAUUCCUAAUGCUUUUGGCUUGGAGCUUUUUCCUUUAAUUGAGUAGGAGUUACUUAACGUUAUACAUAGGUAAAUGAGAAAAUGUGAUCCUUUCAGCAAAUGAUUGCCUGAUUUUAAUUUCCCUGUAAUCAUUCUUAAUUGUUAACUGUCUUCUGAAAUUCAAAAGGCCGUCACAUGGAGGGAGGAUGUUGGGAGUGUCGUUACAUAGGAUAGAAACGACCAAGGGGAGCUGGCAGCAGGCAGGUUGGGGGCAUUGUAAAGAGGGACUUAGUGACAAUGUGGGCUGUUCCACAGCACAUCAGGCUGCCCAGCUGGAGAACGGGUAAGCAUCCUGUCAGUGCAAGUACUCAAACUGUGGCCACAGGACCAGAGGUCAGUACAUAAUGGAGAAGAGAGAGGAUUUACUUCCCAGAACAGUAGUUGCAUUUGAUGACCUCUUUCAGGUGAUAAGGAACCGACAAGUGCUUAGAUGACAUGGUUUGUUCUUUUGGCAUGUCCAACAUUUCUUCUCCCUUCUUCUGAUAGCAGCAUCCUAUUUUCAAGCAGGAUAGACCCCAUCCCAGGCUCCUGGUGUGGGACCAGUGCAGUCAAUGUGAGAGUUCCAUCACCAGGUCACAGUGACGGACCCAGGAUGGUGAUGUGACCCCAGUCAGUUCAAUAUUGCUCAAUCCUGGGACUUUUAUUGGAAAAGAGAAACUCUCUUUCUUCUGGACUUGUAGCAAGUUAAACCUAAAGUCACCUAGGGCCAUUACAAGGAAAGAACCUGCUUGAGAAUGAACUGGAAGGUCUUUAGGUAGACCCUAUUCUCUAGUGGCCCCAUCUCCUCGUGGCCUCCUCCAGCAGGUGGUGUCUGCCCUUUCCUAUUCUCGUCUUUAUCCACCAUGUUACUGUGACUCAGCUACUUGGUGUCUGCCUCCACUGCUUCUGGGACUACAGACUGACUAAUUGCACACUUCCUAUUCAAAUUCCCCAAGGAAAAGACCUUGACUGCACCAGCCAGUCACCGUGCACGUGAUAUACCCAAGUAAACUAUGGCUCUCACACUUGGCCACCAUGAAAGGCUGUCUUUGUGUCAGGCCCCGUUAUGAACUGAAUAUUUGUGUCUCCCCUCAAAUUCCUAUGUUGAAGCUCUAACCCCCGGUGUGAUGGUCUUAGGAGGUGUGGCCUUUGGGAGGGACUUAGGCUUAGACAAGGUCAUGAGGAUGGGGCCCCACGAUGGACUUAGUGUCCUCAUAAGAAGAGGAAGAGACAUCAGAGCUUUACACUUCUUUUGUAUGCAACAAUGUUGUAGAUGUGGAAGCUGUCCUCAGAAUGCAGCUCUGGCAUGGACCAGAUCCCUCCCCAAGCUAUUGCCAAAGUCUUUUCCAAUUUCAGGUUUCUACAAUUCCUUGUUUUCUUUUUAAUUCUCUUUCAAUUGUUUUGUUUGGAUUUUUAUUGUUGAUAAAGGAAGUUACCAAGCAGGGGGCCUCAUACAUUCGGCUCCUUCCCUCACCUACUACCCAAUGCUUGUCCCACCAAGGCUUUGGGCACCAGAUUUUACAAGUGAACAAGAUUGAACAAUAAAACCAAAUCUGGGACCCCCAGGCUCGUCUGAUAUGGCAUGGUGAUUCGGUUAGGUCCUGGCAGGAAAAGGAGAGUACACUCCUGGGUCAUCCGAGGAGAGAUGUUGACAAGGUGUAACGGGGUGUCCCUUACAGGGAGGAUAUCCCUAACUCACGAUGCCUCAGGUCUAAUAACAGCUGGGUCUGUUACCACCUCUAGGCCUGAAGGGACAUUGGAAGGAAUGGCUACCAGAACCCAGAGACAGAGAGGGCUGAGCGAGGGCCAUCUACAGAAACUGUGAGCCUCAGUGGAGGGAUAUGGGCAGCCCCCAGGGAAGGAGCUCUGGGAAUAAAUACCACCCCCCCAACACCAUCUCUUGCCAAUUGGCUGAACUCAACUGGAAGCCAGAGGCCACAGGAACACAGAACAGCCUCCUGAGGGCUCAAAGCAGGGUAGAAAAGGGUAGGGUAUAGACCUGGAAGGGUAAAUGGAAACUGUUCAACACACACCUGGGGGAAAACAGUAGUUCAGGUCCAUUUUCCCUCAAGUAGGCAAAAACAUCUCAAUACAACGUGGGCCGCCAGUUCGUCUUUCUUGCAAUAGGCUGAUCCAGUGCUGCUUUUGGCAUAAAAGAGAAGACGACGCCCGCUCAGACAGUGAGCACCCACUCACUGGCGGGACCAGCCUGCCCUGCCUGCCUGGGGGCCACCGCUCCUCUGUUAAGGGCACAGUGACCCUGGACAGGCUGGACUGAUCUGUUGAGCCGCACCAGCCGUAAAGGCCGGGCUGCACCGCCUUCAGGCACUUCCGAAGAGACUUUGGAAUAGAAUGCUUCCAUUCCUUCAGUCAAAUAUCUAAUUUUAAUCAAAACGUGGAGAAAUAUUAUGUUUCAAAAGUCGGAAGUGAAAAAUAUUAUGGAAAAGAAAGGCCAGGUUUCUGAGAGCAGUGCCUUGCAUUUUAGAUUAAAACAGGAGUACAAUGGUUCUGAAAACAUAAAGCUUUUUCAUUUUUUAAUUUAAAAUUAAUCCACUAAAACCUAAAGACACAAAUUCACUGAAAUCCUUCAAACUCAGCAGGCCGACUAAGGCUGCUUUUUUUCCAGGGAGAAUCUGAUGUGGGAGAGAAAUCGCAUGAGUCUCUCACUUAUUAAACAAAUAUUGACUGAACAUCUCCCACAUGCUCGGCACUGUUCUAGGGGCCAGGAACAGAAGGAAGAUUCAAAUAUAGACAAGAUCCAUCUUUCCCUUAAGCAGCUUAAAUUCUGAUGAGAUAGACAGAAAUGUGAACAGCUAACCACAACACAGGGCAGAAUGAAAUACAUGCUCAGAGAAGCUCAGGAAAUUUGGCGGGUGGGGCACGUCAAGCUGAGAUUCAUUCUACCUGUGGGGGAAAUCAGAGAUGGCUGCAUGGAGGAGGUGAUGCUAGCUCUGGACUUUGGAAAAUGAGCAAGAUAUUGUUAGAAGUCCCAGGAGCCCACAGUUAUACAGAUAAGACAAGGACACCUUUAGGGAACAGAGACAUGGGUGCAUGAAGUCUUGGCAAAUGUAGACCAGAGGGGCAGUGUGGUGCAGCUGGAUGGGACGAUGAAAGACGACGUCAGAGGGAGAUGGAGCUGAAAAGAGGUGUUGAGUCAAAUCAUAGGGAAUCUUACAUACCAGCUUACUUAACUCUCUUUGGGUGUAACAGGGACUCUAUGGGGUGCCAUAUCUGCUUGGGGUGAAUGUUAGAUAUUUUUUGUGGUUUCGUUUUGAGCAUUACAAUCCACAGCAGCUCUAUCUUGCUGCCUCCAGUCUGUGCCCCAUGUGUUUCCGCGACAGUGAGAUCCAUAGUGCGUUCAUCCCUUUGAGCCACAGUAAAUCACUUCAAGCAGAUGAUGUUAGCCGCCUCAAACUGUAAAUAAGAUCUGGCUCGCAGCGCCCUCCUGGACACUGGAAAUGGUUCAAUACCCCCCAGACGGAGGAGCCGGAAUGAAAGUGGUUCGUUGGAACAAAGUCGCCUAUAAAUAGCUGUGCUGGGCCGAUGGGCCACAUUGCUAAAAGGCCCUCCAACUAAUAGGCUGGAUGUUCCGUAAAUCAGCGUGAGAGCAGAGGGGGGCCCGGUGUCACCCACACAGCCCCGGCGGCAGGGAAAGAGAGGGCGCUGCUAAUUAAUCUCCGCGUCCUGCCAUUCCCCGCAGUGUCUCUUCUACCAGGGCAAGUGGGAUUAAAAAUGAAAAGGGAGAAUCAGUCGGCUUCCUUUACAGGCUGUGUUACCUAACCCCAAAGGCCAAAUCAGGAAUUGCUUUGGAUUUUGAUGUUAAAGCAGCCUGGAGGAUGCAAAGGAGGCUGCACGAAAUCGGAUCGACCAGUGCGCCAUUAACUCCAACCGCUAAGGGAAGGACGCCGAGCCCCCGCCCAGCUCUGAGCAGCUAUGCUUCAUCUGCUCAGGGCUCAGUUAACAAAACAGGGCCAAACAAAACGUCACACUUUCGGCGGUGAGCCUGUGUAUCUAAAUAUCAAAUAUUGGGACGCCCUUGGGCAGAGCCCACGCUGAGACCUCACGCCGGCCUGGGAGGUGUUGCAAACGUUCCUGGACCGGAAGCACCGCUCUCGGUCUGGGCAACGGCCGCCCAGCAGCUGCGAAGACAACGCUGGGGCCCGUCUUCACCCCAGCGACAAUGGUCCCCUCGGGACACAGCAUUCGGCAGGGGAUCUGCAAGAAGCAAAUGGCCUCAUUCCUGGGCCAGGGCCUGACCUUGAAGUGACAUCAGUGUGUCUCCGUCUGGGCUGGCUGCUGAGGACAGGCAGCAGAACAAGGUCUUCACUUGGCCAGAAUAUGCCAAACAAAUGCUUCAUGUAAACUACAUUUAGCCACUCUUUGCUUUUUAUUUUUACCAUUUUAUGUUUUUCAAAGUAAUAGUGACGACUAUUUGUCAAACCUCUUUAUAAACACCUCUUGUUACACAAAAAUCAUGAAUUCACUGGCUACAGGAGGCAUUGCACCCUUACACAUCGAUGUCCAGAGGCAGGGUGAAGGGAAGGUUCCCAGGCUGCUGUUAAUGCUGCGGGUCCACAUGUGGAGAAGGUGACAUGGACAAAUCAAGGCUCCCCCUUGGGGCAGGGAAGAAGCUGAGCCUCCCCUUAAACACAUGGCUGCUUGGAGGAAAAGGAACAAAAUCAGGCUUCCCUUAGGAAGGAGAGGGCUGGGUAUGUGGCUGUUGAAUGGCAAACAUCAGAGUCUUCUGGGUUGGAAGCUGCUAAAACCUGAACUUCUUGACAAAGAGGCAGUCUUUUAUGGUCUAUUUGAUUCUGGCUUCUUGCUCGCCUGGUUAAUAGCACUCGACUCUACCGCUCCCAGUGAGCCCAGGCUAGGACAGAGGCAGAGCUGAUGCUGGAGAUGGCCAGUGGCCCAGCAGCAUGGGAUGGAGCCCGGAAGACCCGGGGAGGCAGCAGUCACCAAUGCUCACCAGCAAGUAGCACCAGCUCUGCAUCUCUGUCCAGUCCAGCGUCUUGGGGAAAGUACCUCCACUCUCUGAGAUAACGUGAUUAAAAAACAAACAAAACAAUUAACUAAUGAUGUUGCACUGCCCGUUUCAACUGACAUAAGCCAGAUUUCACAAAUACAAGCCUGGUGCGGCAACCUGC